AAUUUUCAAAAACAACAUAUUCUUAAGCAAUUGUUUUGCUUUUGUGGUUUUGUAUUCUUAUCUGCUAAAGGUGUAACGUAUCCACAUUCAACCGCUAUUACACUACCCUACCUACUACGUUUUACAUCAUUUAUUAUUUUAAAAUAUUUGAUCAUUAAAUUUCCUACUCAAAAACGUUCUAAUGUAAAUAUUGUGAUGCAGUUUCGUUGGCGUUUCUCUAACUUUAAUCCUACUAAAUGCUAAGUGACGGAGCUUCUAUAAACCGUGUAAAUGAAAACAUUCUUGCCAAUAUAAAAAAUGAAGUCAGUAAUAACAAAGAAUAUGGAUACGGUGGGUACGGUGGAUAUGGUUAUGGAAAAAGAGAGUUAAAUGAAGUCGAAGAUCCGUGGGUUGGUAGAGGCGCAGGUGGUGGAGGUGGAGGAGGAGGGGGUGGAG
rnacentral:lncRNA from 1 species